rnacentral:rRNA from 1 species
GACGAACGCUGGCGGCGUGCUUAACACAUGCAAGUGGAGCGACGAACCAGGCUUCGGCCUGGGGCAAAACCGCGAACGGGUGAGUAACACGUGGGUAACCUGCCCCGAUGACCGGGACAACCCGAGGAAACUCGGGCUAAUACCGGAUGUGAUCGUGGGCCUCAAGCGCCACGCGUAAAGGAAGCUUCGGCCUCCGCCGUGGGCUGGGCUCGCGGCCCAUUAACUUGUUGGUGCGGUAAAGGCUCACCAACGCCACGAUGGGUAGCUGGUCUGAGAGGACGAUACGCCACACUGGGGCUGAGACACGGCCCAGACUCCUACGGGAGGCAGCAGUGGGGAAUCUUGCGCAAUGCGCGAAAGCGUGACGCAGCAACGCCGCGUGGGGGAAGAAGGCCUUCGGGUUGUAAACUCCUUUCAGGAGGGACGAAGGGCGGGCCACGAAUAGUGAGCUCGUCUGACGGUACCUCCAGAAGAAGCCCCGGCUAACUACGUGCCAGCAGCCGCCGUAAUAC